rnacentral:misc_RNA from 1 species
UUUUUAUCGAUUAAGUCGAUAAGUAAUACAACGUAGGUAGACGAAGGGUUUAUCGAUUUUGAGGAUUCUUACUUUAAUCAAAAUUAUAAACUGGCCUGUGUCCAGCAGUGGACUCCAAUAGGCUGGAAUGAUGAUGAUGAUAAUGAUGAUGAAAAUUAUAAACAAAAAUAACAUUCAUGGAGUCUGGGAGACUCCUAGUAGGUAGUUGUGUGACUGAAAAGAGAGGUAGGUAGCUAAGGGUUAAUACACGUUGUCAAAGAUUACUUAAAAAGUAGUAAUAAUUAAAAAAAUUGCCUUUAAAGUACCAGGCGAGCAUAAAUAUAGAAGGACCUGACGAGCCCGUCGACACUAAGCUGCCAACGAGCCAAGCAGCUGACUACCAGCGCUGGCGCCGCGCCAGUGGCUCAGCCUUCGCACUUUAACUAUUAUUAUUAUUAAAUCGCCUCAAUUUACUAUGUACGAAAUUAUAAACCUUAUGCGAAUAUUUUAAGGAAUUUUUUAUUAUAUAAAACUUAAAUUUCACACUCGAGAGAAAAGCAUUUUUUUUUUUAAUAAAUUUGCGACGUACGUUGAAAUUUCAAUAAUAAAAUUCUUGCUAACUUACUUUUAUGUAAGUAAUACUGAGUAUUUUUUAUUCUAUUUAG